UACGUAUGGUGCAAGCGUUAUCCGGACUUACUGGGUGUAAAGGGAGCGCAGGCGGCACGGCAAGCCUGAUGUGAAAGCCCGCGGCCCAACCGCGGGACUGCAUUGGGAACUACCAGGCUGGAGUGCCGGAGAGGUAGGCGGAAUUCCUAGUGUAGCGGUGAAAUGCGUAGAUAUUAGGAGGAACACCAGUGGCGAAGGCGGCCUACUGGACGGUGACUGACGCUGAGGCUCGAAAGCGUGGGGAGCAAACAGG
rnacentral:rRNA from 1 species